rnacentral:rRNA from 1 species
GACGAACGCUGGCGGCGUGCUUAACACAUGCAAGUCGAACGGAAAGGCCCUGCCUUUGUGGGGUGCUCGAGUGGCGAACGGGUGAGUAACGCGUGAGUAACCUGCCCUUGACUUUGGGAUAACUUCAGGAAACUGGGGCUAAUACCGGAUAGGAGCUCCUGCUGCAUGGUGGGGGUUGGAAAGUUUCGGCGGUUGGGGAUGGACUCGCGGCUUAUCAGCUUGUUGGUGGGGUAGUGGCUUACCAAGGCUUUGACGGGUAGCCGGCCUGAGAGGGUGACCGGCCACAUUGGGACUGAGAUACGGCCCAGACUCCUACGGGAGGCAGCAGUGGGGAAUAUUGCACAAUGGGCGGAAGCCUGAUGCAGCAACGCCGCGUGCGGGAUGACGGCCUUCGGGUUGUAAACCGCUUUCGCCUGUGACGAAGCGUGAGUGACGGUAAUGGGUAAAGAAGCACCGGCUAACUACGUG